rnacentral:rRNA from 1 species
CGUGCAGGCGGUUUGGUAAGUUGGAUGUGAAAGCUCCCGGCUCAACUGGGAGAGGUCGUUCAAUACUACCAGACUUGAGAGUGGUAGAGGGAGGUGGAAUUCCCGGUGUAGUGGUGAAAUGCGUAGAUAUCGGGAGGAACACCAGUGGCGAAAGCGGCCUCCUGGACCAUUUCUGACGCUCAGACGCGAAAGCUAGGGGAGCAAACGGGAUUAGAGACCCCGGUAGUCCUAGCUGUAAACGAUGUGAACUUGGCGUCGGUGGUAGUAAAAACCAUCGGUGCCGCAGCCAACGCGAUAAGUUCACCGCCUGGGGACUACGGCCGCAAGGUUAAA